CGGCACAAUUAAGAUCUCUACGCUCACUAUCCUUCAAAGGGCCCAAGUCAGAGAAGGAAGUGGCCUUCUUUUGCCGUAGAAUAUCUGGUCUGGUGUUCUCAGAAACAUCUGAUUUUGACUCACUCAAUUCCACCUGUGGCAAAUCUUUUUUCUUCUGCAAUUCAGUUUUGAACUUCGAAACGUCCUCUUUUGCCAAACGAAGCUCAUAUUCACUAAGUGCUAAUUUUUCUUCUAUUGCUUCUUUCUCUUC
rnacentral:misc_RNA from 1 species